UACGGGAGGCAGCAGUGGGGAAUAUUGCACAAUGGGCGCAAGCCUGAUGCAGCCAUGCCGCGUGUAUGAAGAAGGCCUUCGGGUUGUAAAGUACUUUCAGUCGUGAGGAAGGUGUUAAGGUUAAUAACCUUAGCAAUUGACGUUAGCGACAGAAGAAGCACCGGCUAACUCCGUGCCAGCAGCCGCGGUAAUACGGAGGGUGCGAGCGUUAAUCGGAAUUACUGGGCGUAAAGGGCACGCAGGCGGUUAAUUAAGUUGGAUGUGAAAUCCCCGGGCUUAACCUGGGAAUGGCAUUCAAGCUGGUUAGCUAGAGUCUUGUAGAGGGGGUAGAAUUCCAUGUGUAGCGGUGAAAUGCGUAGAGAUGUGGAGGAAUACCGGUGGCGAAGGCGGCCCCUGGACAAAGGACUGACGCUCAUGUGCGAAAGCGUGGGGAGCAAACGAGGGAUUUAGAUACC
rnacentral:rRNA from 1 species